rnacentral:rRNA from 1 species
AUUGAACGCUGGCGGCAGGCCUAACACAUGCAAGUCGAGCGAGCGGCGGACGGGUGAGUAAUGUAUGGGAUCUUCCCGAUUGAGGGGGGUAACUACUUGGAACGGUUGCUAAUACCGCAUUCUCACGGAUGAACCCCAAUGGGAUUAGCUAGUAGGUGGGGUAAAGGCUCACCUAGGCGACGAGCUCUAGCUGGUCUGAGAGGAUGAUCAGCCACACUGGGACUGAGACACGGCCCAGACUCCUACGGGAGGCAGCAGUGGGGAAUAUUGCACAAUGGGCGCAAGCCUGAUGCAGCCAUGCCGCGUGUAUGAAGAAGGCCUUCGGGUUGUAAAGUACUUUCAGCGGGGAGGCGUUACCCGCAGAAGAAGCACCGGCUAACUCCGUGCCAGCAGCCGCGGUAAUAC